rnacentral:rRNA from 1 species
GGGGGGUGCGAGCGUUGUCCGGAAUCACUGGGCGUAAAGGGCGCGUAGGUGGCGUGAUAAGGGUGUGGUGAAAGCCCGGGGCUCAACCCCGGGUCGGCCAUGCCGACUGUCAGGCUGGAGUGCUGUAGGGGCAGGCGGAAUUCCGGGUGUAGCGGUGGAAUGCGUAGAGAUCCGGAGGAAGACCGGUGGCGAAGGCGGCCUGCUGGGCAGUUACUGACACUGAUGCGCGACAGCGUGGGGAGCAAACAGGAUUAGAUACCCUGGUAGUCCACGCCGUAAACGAUGGGUACUAGGUGCCUGGGGGAGCGACCCCCUGGGUGCCGGCGCUAACGCAGGAAGUACCCCGCCUGGGGAGUACGGCCGCAAGGCUG